CUCCUUUGCGAGAAGUAGCGUCAUUCAUCCAGCUCAAAAGUAUACCUUAUAACUCCAUCUUCUUCAUCUAGUCAUGUUAAUGGAGACAAUAAUGGAAACAAAAUCUUGAUACUCCCAGAAGGGGAUGGGUUUGAUCAACACAAGUUGGUAAUUGGGGCACUUGCUUCAAUCAUACGAAGUAACUUGGGGGAGGCAAAACCAUCAUGGAAGAAGCUAUCUAUCGGUCAAAGGGAUUCGUGGUUUGAUAUGCUUCAAUCAAAAUUUACAUGGCCACCUGAAUAUAAUGACAUGGUGCGACGUAAUUUUGAGAAAAGAGGUGCAGCUAAAAUGUCUCAAUUAAUGCAAGAAGUUCGAAAGGAUUUAGAGAGAAAACCAAUUUGGAUAGGAGAAGAUGUAUGGGCACACUUGAAGGAACACUGGAGAUCCUUACGUUUUAAGAAAAAGUCAGAAGUAAAUAAAAGAAAUCGUGAAUCUGUGAAUGGUGCAUCUCUUCAUACCGGUGGAUCAAUUCCUCACCGUUUGCAUUGGAAA